rnacentral:rRNA from 1 species
AUACGUAGGGAGCAAGCGUUGUCCGGAAUUACUGGGCGUAAAGGGUGCGUAGGCGGCGCGUUAAGUCAGAUGUGAAAUACCCGGGCUCAACCCGGGGGGUGCAUCUGAUACUGGCGUGCUUGAGUGCAGGAGAGGAAAGCGGAAUUCCUAGUGUAGCGGUGAAAUGCGUAGAGAUCGGGAGGAACACCAGUGGCGAAGGCGGGUAACUGGACUGCAACUGACGCUGAGGCGCGAAAGUGUGGGGAGCAAACAGGAUUAGAUACCCUGGUGGUCCACACUGUAAACGAUGAAUGCUAGGUGUAGGGGGUAUCGACCCCUUCUGUGCCGCAGUCAACACAAUAAGCAUUCCGCCUGGGGAGUACGGCCGCAAGGUUGAAACUCAAAUGAAUUGGCGGGG